AUCUUGGGAACUAUAAUGGAGCACCUCCUCAAGCACACUAUGCAUCUCCACAAACUGUGGUGGAUCCUUCUUGGUACAUGGAUAGCGGUGCUACCUAUCAUGUUACCCCGAACCCGAAUCAGCUGGACUCUUAUCUUCCAGUAGGCCAAGAAAACAGGGGAGGUACUGGUCCGAGGGACGACAAAUCAGGGAAUGUAUCCCGUGCGUAAUCUGGCUCCAGCGAAGGUCUUCAUAGCAGCUACUUCACCAUCUCUUGGUCGUGAUGAAAUUCUCAAGUGGCAUUACAAGUUAGGACAUCCUAGUUUUAGAAUCCUGAAACUUAUUCUAGAUAAAUGUAAUGUUAAAGCUCAGUGUAGAACUGAGUUUAUUUGUGAAGCCUGUCAGUUCGGUAAAUCUAAACAGCUACCAUUUUCAAAGUCUAUGUCUCAUGCAUCCUUUCCUCUUGAACUGGUUCACACUGAUCUUUGGGGUCCUUCACCGGUGCAAUCUGAACAUGGUCAUCGUUUCUAUAU